rnacentral:rRNA from 1 species
UACGUAGGGCGCAAGCGUUGUCCGGAAUUAUUGGGCGUAAAGAGCUCGUAGGCGGCUUGUCACGUCGGGUGUGAAAGCCCGGGGCUUAACCCCGGGUCUGCAUUCGAUACGGGCAGGCUAGAGUUCGGUAGGGGAGAUCGGAAUUCCUGGUGUAGCGGUGAAAUGCGCAGAUAUCAGGAGGAACACCGGUGACGAAGGCGGAUCUCUGGGCCGAUACUGACGCUGAGGAGCGAAAGCGUGGGGAGCGAACAGG